CCCUUAACUAUUAAAAGUUUCGUUUUGGUCCCUUAACUUAUUUUUUGGUUUCAUUUUGGUCACUUAACUCUAAUACAUUCAUCCUGACAUAAAGGACCAAAGUGGUUGACGAGGAAGAGUUAAGGGACCAAAACGAAACCAAAAAGUAAGUUACAGGAUCAAAAUGAAACUUUUAAUAGUUAAAGGA
rnacentral:pre_miRNA from 1 species